GAUGAACGCUGGCGGCGCGCCUAACACAUGCAAGUCGAACGGCACCCCUCUCCGGAGGGAAGCGAGUGGCGAACGGCUGAGUAACACGUGGAGAACCUGCCCCCUCCCCCGGGAUAGCCGCCCGAAAGGACGGGUAAUGCCGGAUACCCCGGGGUGCCGCAUGGCACCCCGGCUAAAGCCCCGACGGGAGGGGAUGGCUCCGCGGCCCAUCAGGUAGACGGCGGGGUGACGGCCCACCGUGCCGACAACGGGUAGCCGGGUUGGGAGACCGACCGGCCAGAUUGGGACUGAGACACGGCCCAGACUCCUACGGGAGGCAGCAGUGGGGAAUCUUGCGCAAUGGGGGGAACCCUGACGCAGCGACGCCGCGUGCGGGACGGAGGCCUUCGGGUCGUAAACCGCUUUCAGCAGGGAAGAGUCAAGACUGUAC
rnacentral:rRNA from 1 species